GUCUUCAUGGCUUAGUUGGUUAAAGCGUCGGUCUCAUAGCAUGAUCCAGCCACAGGCUGGGGCAAUCCGAAGGUCGCGAGUUCGACUCUCGCUGAGGACA
rnacentral:tRNA from 1 species